GAUGAACGCUGGCGGCGUGCCUAAUACAUGCAAGUCGAGCGAACAGACGAGGAGCUUGCUCCUCUGACGUUAGCGGCGGACGGGUGAGUAACACGUGGAUAACCUACCUAUAAGACUGGGAUAACUUCGGGAAACCGUAGCUAAUACCGGAUAAUAAAUUGAACCGCAUGGUAUAAUAGUGAAAGACGGUUUUGCUGUCACUUAUAGAUGGAUCCCCGCCGCAUUAGCUGGUUGGUAAGGUAACGGCUUACCAAGGCAACGAUGCGUAGCCGACCUGGGAGGGUGAUCGGCCACACUGGAACUGAGACACGGUCCAGCCUCCUACGGGAGGCAGCAGUAGGGAAUCUUCCGCAAUGGGCGAAAGCUUGACGGAGCAACGCCGCGUGAGUGAUGAAGGUCUUCGGAUCGUAAAACUCUGUUAUUAGGGAAGAACAAAUGUGUAAGUAACUAUGCACGUCUUGACGGUACCUAAUCAGAAAGCCACGGCUAACUACGUG
rnacentral:rRNA from 1 species